rnacentral:rRNA from 1 species
GACGAACGCUGGCGGCGUGCCUAAUACAUGCAAGUAGAACGCAGUUGCGAACGGGUGAGUAACGCGUAGGUAACUGCCUCAUAGCGGGGGAUAACUAUUGGAAACGAUAGCUAAUACCGCAUACUGUGAGAUGGACCUGCGUUGUAUUAGCUAGUUGGUGAGGUAAAGGCACACCAAGGCGACGAUACAUAGCCGACCUGAGAGGGUAAUCGUCCAGACUGGGACUGGGAACAGGCCCAAAGUCCUACGGGAGUAAUGGGAAUGGAAUCUGCGGCAAUGGAGUGAAGUCUGACCGAGCAACGCCGCGUGGUAGAAGAAGGUUUUCGGAUCGUAAAACUCUGUUGUUAGAGAAGCGUUAACUAACCAGAAAGGGACGGAUAACUACGUGCCAGCAGCCGCGGUAAUAC